GAGGCGGGGCGUUGGUCCAGGGUUACGAGGCGCUUGCGGUUCCCUGGAGGUGCAGGACACUUGGUGGAGUGGUCCCCACGGGAGUUCGUCACCCACAGCCCCUCAGAGUGUCCUCCCCGGGCGGAGGCCGCGAUCUCGGCGGGAACUCGCGCAGCCGAAUAGGUCCAGGUCGGGCUGGGCCGGGUGCGAGCGAUAAGGGCGCGGCCGGCGCACUCUGGAGGACCUAGAUAGCGCGGCCCGCAGGGCCACCGAAGUUAUGAGCAUAUGGAUUUGCUUUCAGUCUGCACAGUACCGUGCCUGGCACAUGACAGGAGCUCAUUAAGUCUUUGUUGAAUAAACAUGGGAUUAAAUA